GAUGAAGAACGUAGCGAAAUGCGAUAAGUAAUGUGAAUUGCAUAAUUCAGUGAAUCAUCGAAUCUUUGAACGCACCUUGCGCCCUUUGGCCAUUCCGAAGGGCAUGCCUGUUUGAGUAUCAUGAACACCUCAACUCUUUAUGGUUUUCCAUGAUGAGCUUGGACUCUGGGGGUUUUGCUGGCUCACAGUCGGCUCCUCUAAAAUGAAUCAGCUUACCAGUGUUUGGUGGGUAUCAUGGGUGUGAUAACUAUCUACGCUUGUGGUUUUUCCACCAGGUAACCUUCAGCAGUGGAGGUUCGCUGGAGCUCAUAGAUGUCUCUCCUCAGUGAGGACAGCCCUUUGAAUGUUUGAUCUCAAAUCAGGUAGGACUACCCGCUGAACUUAAGCAUAUCAAUAAGCGGAGGA
rnacentral:misc_RNA from 1 species